rnacentral:tRNA from 4 species
GUACCAUUAGCUCAGCUGGAUAGAGCGUCUGGCUACGGACCAGAAGGUCAGGGGUUCGAAUCCUCUAUGGUACGCCA